rnacentral:rRNA from 1 species
GAUGAACGCUGGCGGCGUGCCUAAUACAUGCAAGUCGAGCGAACAGACGAGGAGCUUGCUCCUCUGACGUUAGCGGCGGACGGGUGAGUAACACGUGGAUAACCUACCUAUAAGACUGGGAUAACUUCGGGAAACCGGAGCUAAUACCGGAUAAUAUAUUGAACCGCAUGGUUCAAUAGUGAAAGACGGUUUUGCUGUCACUUAUAGAUGGAUCCGCGCCGCAUUAGCUAGUUGGUAAGGUAACGGCUUACCAAGGCAACGAUGCGUAGCCGACCUGAGAGGGUGAUCGGCCACCCUGGAACUUAAACACGGUCCGAGAUCCUACGGGAGGCAGCAGUAGGGAAUCUUCCGCAAUGGGCGAAAGCCUGACGGAGCAACGCCGCGUGAGUGAUGAAGGUCUUCGGAUCGUAAAACUCUGUUAUUAGGGAAGAACAAAUGUGUAAGUAACUAUGCACGUCUUGACGGUACCUAAUCAGAAAGCCACGGCUAACUACGUG